UACGGAGGGGGCUAGCGUUGUUCGGAAUUACUGGGCGUAAAGCGCACGUAGGCGGCGAUUUAAGUCGGGUGUGAAAGCCCCGGGCUCAACCUGGGAAUUGCAUUCGAUACUGGAUAGCUAGAGUUCGGCAGAGGGAAGCGGAAUUUCCGGUGUAGCGGUGAAAUGCGUAGAUAUCGGAAGGAACAUCAGUGGCGAAAGCGGCUUCCUGGACCAGAACUGACGAUCAGGCACGAAAGCGUGGGGAGCAAACAGG
rnacentral:rRNA from 1 species